UGUCCUAAGGAUGCUUACUCUUGGCUUAGCAAUGGUAAUAAGUUAUACUGCCCAAAUGAUACACUAGGAAGGAACCUCUACCAGUGUGUACCUAAUGAUGACAGAUCUUCACUUGUGGAAUUCUGUCUUCAGGGUAGUAUUGGAAAAUAUGCAGCAAAUAUAUGCCCUUAUGCAGUAUCUUCAGGCCACCUAGACGCUAUCAACUGCUCAACUUUUCUCAAAGGCUGUCCAAAGGAAUCGUACAAUACCAAUGAAGUAUACAAAUAUCCAGCCUGCUUGGAAAUAAAUCCACAGAAACGUUGCUAUUUAGCAAAUGUAAACUGUCCAAACGAAACGCAUCAGGACGUUCAGUCAGGGAUUGAAACCGCACAUAUAAUUGCUGGAGUAGUCAUCGCGGUGAUCGUAUUUGUGUUUAUUGCAAUACUUUUCUAUCUUUUCUACUUGA